UACGUAGGGGGCAAGCGUUGUCCGGAAUCAUUGGGCGUAAAGAGCGCGUAGGCGGCCCUGUAAGUCCGCUGUGAAAGUCAAGGGCUCAACCCUUGAAUGCCGGUGGAUACUGCAGGGCUAGAGUCCGGAAGAGGCGAGUGGAAUUCCUGGUGUAGCGGUGAAAUGCGCAGAUAUCAGGAGGAACACCGGUGGCGAAGGCGGCUCUGGCCGA
rnacentral:rRNA from 1 species